UUUCGAAUAAAUCUGGUAUGUAGUUUGAUAAAUCGCUAUCAACCGUACCUUCGCUCUUCUCUUUGGAUCUACGGCAGAUUUCCAUGAAAAUACUGCUGUAAGUGUAGAAUAUUACGCCGAGUGGAAACCAAUACAUUAUCACCAUCCCGAACAAAGUAUAGGAAAUUUCAUGCGCGUACGACGGGAAGACGUUGAAAGUUAUACAUUGCGUGUAACAAGAGUGAUUCGGAUGUGUCUCGAGAUGAAACACCAACAUCUAUAGAAAAAAAUAAUGAGUCGGAUAACAAAUGCGAUUUUAUGCUAAUUAUAUAAAUUAGUUUACCUGUGGUAAAGAACAUAGCACAGAGCCAAUCCAUGCGAGCAUCAGCAUUAUUUUACCUCUUCUGUAAACGUCCAGUAUCUGAAGAGGUCGCAUCACAGCGUAAUAUCUGUAACAUUACAGUACGUGUGAAGAAUGUAAUUCUAAAUGUCAUUUUAAAUGUAAUUUUAUAGAAUUCCAACCGGAUCAAAUACUGCAUAUAUACAUAAUUAUUAUUUUCAUAUUAUAUGUGACAUUUAUCUGAAUAAAUCAUGACAUUCAAAGAAAUAAAUAAAAAAUAGUCAAUGCAUGCAUGCGUGUAUAAAAUAAUCGCAGUUUAUCAAAAUGGUGAUUCCGCGCUGACCUGUCUAUACUUAUGCAAACUAUUACAAAGGAUGAAAGAUAUAGACCAAACAUCCUGAAGAAAGCCAUUAUACGACACAUAGCGUCUCCGGCUUCCCAGGAUACCGUUAUAGACCAUCCGAUUUCAAGCGGCAUCAUUAAGAACGUCACCUGGAUAAUUAAAUUAAAUUCGAUAAAAUUUCACACUUUAAUCUCCUGAAUUCAAUCAUCGCGUUUUUAUCAAAUCGUAUAGCGAUAUUACUUAUGGCGAAUUAAUUGUGCGUUCGAAUAUGCUUUAAUUAUGCUCGAAUACUUACAAGGAGGUCAGCAAUUGACAAGUGCAUUAUAAGGGUGUGUAUACGGGACUUGGACUUUCGCUUCUUUAUUAUAGUCAUUAUCAGCACGCUAAAGUUCCCAGCAGCCGAUAUCACCAUUAGGAUGCUGUAAGUGAUUAUCGUCACGAGGUGACCGUCAUUGAAACGCAAUUCGUUCGGCAGUUCCACCGUGUCGUUGCACUCGAAACUCUCUUCGCUGUCGGCUUCGCUUAACUGUUUAAUCGCGUUCUCCAUAUCGCUGAGGAUGAGCUUAUCCAUCUGCAAUUAUCGGAAAAUGCGAGGAGAUCUUGAAGAACGACAGUUCGAUCGCACACGUGACGCGAAUUCAUUCGAGAUGCUUCACACUCGUACUUUUAGCUCGGAAAGUUUUGGAAACAAGCAAACUACACCAAGACAAUGCGUCUAGUCUGUGCGCGAGGCAUUCCGAACAUGCAACAAUUCGCGGAGAGAUACAUCGUGGAGUGUUUGCUAUGAUUUAUUUGUGAGCAAAUUAAAUUCUCUUCUGGGAUGGAAUCGCUUUUAAAAUCAAAACACUUUACAGAGAGAGAUCAUUUCGAGUGCAAAAUAUAUUUCAAGAUGAUCUGCGCCAAAAUGUCGAAAGAUCCGCCUCGUCUUUGCGCACUAUUGAACAACGAACCCUUGUCGUACGGGGUGCGUUGUAAUACUGAUUCGGCUUACUUUCCGCUGCCCUAGCGAAGUAUGUUCAGCGCAGGUCCAAGUCAUAGGAGGUGUUGAAGCUCGAAUUGAAAGAAAAGCAACAUCAAUGUAGAUUGCGUUCAAAGUACCAAAUCCGACUGACAUCAUGUGCUAAACAUGCGCCAGAGACACACGGAACUAAACUUCGGCCCCGAAGCGCAAAGUGCAUCAACGAGGGAACACGUUAAGAUAUCAUAUUAAUGAGCUGUUUUUCUUCAAUUAACUUUAUUUCAUCGUAGUUGGACGAUUUUUCGGGAUUUGAGCGAUAUAGAUACUUGUUUUGGCUGCAUUAAUUUAUCAACACUAUAUAUUGCGAAUAAAUGGAUGGAGAAAGAUAGAUUUGCAAAACAGUGUAAAAGCGUAAUAUCAUUCAUUUUUUUGGAUAGCAAUAAACAUUGAAGUUUGUAUCAUGAUUGCAGAUAAAUACCGAAGACACUACUAAGAAUCGAAUUAUUUAAAACGCAGAAUGUCUUUCUCUAUAUGUAGUAUAAAAGGUUCGAUGAAAGAUUUCAACAUACACUAGAGAAAAAUAAUUUUCUUCAAGGGGCGUCGAUAAUUGUCGCGAUCCUUAUCUAGGUUCUCGUUAUUUUCACAAUAUACAUAUAAUAGAGACAAAUGCGCAGACAAAAUCGAUAUGACGCUGAUUUUUUUUGUGCUUCGGUCAAACAAUCGUUUACGCAAUUAUUUCGCAAAAAACAAACUGUCAUGUUUUCAUCCAAAAACACGCAUAGAUUAGAUUAAAAUCAAGAGCCUUGAGCACGAAAUUAUGUAAUAUUAAUUCGAAAACGCAUAUUAUAGUUUAAUACGUAAUUCACGGCGAAAGCAGAAAAUAUUUAUUAAUUUGUACAGGAUUCUCUUUAUAAGACGUAAUAUGUGUUCGCAGGAUAUAUGGCUUUUAUCGAAUAGAAUUGUAUUGAUAUAGUUCAAUUAAGAAUCCUCCCUCGCUUUUGCUCACAUAUUGACAUGUCGAUAUAAUGCAAUUUGUCGAACAAUAAAACCUGAUUAAUGUUCUAUGUAUGUAUAGGAUGUAAUGACGUAUACGAGCAAAAAAAAAUAUAUAUCUAUAUUAUAUAUAUUUGGAAAUUAAGAAUAUAUUCAUUCGUUGUAAAGAAUGGAAAACUUAGAAUAGAAAAAACAAUCGAUAUAAGAGAUUAAUUUUUCAAGAUCUUAAAAUUGAAAUUGAAAACAUAUAUAUUUAUGCAAAUAACUCGCUGUUAUUUAUUUCCGUAAAUAAUGAAUAACUGAUAUGACACACAAAACGUCGAUACCGACGACAUCGAGGAAUUAUUCAUGACGAGGAGAUGAUGCUAGAUAACUCUCUUUAUAAUAUAUACAACAUACGACAUGUGUGUCUUUUGUCUCAACUUUCUUCAGAAAUAUUUAUAGCUUUUAUUUUUAGCAAAUAGAAGAAGAAAAUUUUUCUAAAAAAAAUAUUCUUAUAUUUUUUGUUUGCUACACAUCAUCAGUCGCAAAUUGUAAGAAAGUUGAAAAAAAAGUUGCACGUGCCUAAAUCGCAAAUUCUUUUUCUAUUAGAAGGAAAAAAAGAAAUAAUUUAAAUUAAAAUAAAUAAAUUCAAUCAAAGUCAUGUAAUAAAAAAUAAAUUUCUUACUCGAUGCGUAGUCGGAAUCUCGAUGUUUGGAGUAAAUUUAUUCUUGAUGUUUUCCAAAUAUUGUUUUCCAAGAUUGCAGUAUCUGCUACGAUUUUUAACAAUUAGAACUAGAAGUGGGUCGAGUUGCUUACAUUUUAAGAUCAAUGAACACGCACUGUCAGCAUGAACGAUUAAUUCUUGGCGGAUCUUGAAAGAGAGAAAAAUAAUAAGCACUGCGUGCUUCACGCGUGAGAAUGUGAACUUUUGUCACAUUAACGUUUUCGCGAAAUCCUUCCGCGCUUAACUUUGUGCGUGAAUUCCUGGGGCGAUGGGAAUUAUCUCCACACAUGUAUGUCCUCAAUCCGUUUUCUCAUUGCGUAUACUAACACAUAUCGCUCGACAAAACAUCGAGGAAAAAAAAUCUGGUAUCGCAGCGAGACAUAAAAAAAAGCCAACUUAUCUAUCGUUCACCUUUUACGCUGAAGAGUCACAGGCGUGAACAGCACGAUGAGUUUUGCGAAAUGCAAAUGGGGGACGCGAUCUACACGUGAUCGACGACGGAAUUCGGUGCGGCGCGAGUAUAAUUAAGCGUACGAUGAACGACGAGGGACUGCGGAUCCCGCGGGACGUUCGCGAUUUAUCCGCCGACGCAGACACACUCAGGCCGGCGUCAAGGGUCAAGUGUCAAAUCGCCGCUGAUAGGACUAACGUGUCGGGGACAGUGCCGUCGAUCGAGAACACAUCCGGAAUGCGAGUGAAGAUUGUGGCGGAAGCCGAAAUCAAAUAAUGUGAAUGGACCGCGUGCGUAAGAGUCUUGGAAAGACUCGUCUCUUUCUCCAUCUCUCUCUUUAUCUUUGGAAAGAUGGAAAUACAUGCGAAUGUUAUCAUAUAUUAUUACAAUUGAUUCUUUGUCACUGUCACUUUUAAAAAUCGAGUGGAUAGAAAAUAAUUUCGUGGACGGAACAAAAUCUCGUGUGUUAUCGCGAAAAAAAGUUAACCACCAUAUAGUUAAAUUUCCCAAUAUUACAAUCUGAAAUUCAGUUAUUAUUUUUAAAUUUUAGUUAUGGUAACUAAUAUUUUUAGCUAUAG